AGCUACCUCUGGUCCACGGCGGGGGAAUGAUCGGUCUCGCUGUCCUGCUGGCAAGUAUCCUCUCCACUGCAAGCAGU